rnacentral:rRNA from 1 species
AGAGUUUGAUCCUGGCUCAGGACGAACGCUGGCGGCGUGCUUAACACAUGCAAGUCGAACGGAAAGGCCCUUCGGGGUACUCGAGUGGCGAACGGGUGAGUAACACGUGGGUGAUCUGCCCUGCACUUUGGGAUAAGCCUGGGAAACUGGGUCUAAUACCGAAUAUGACCAUGCACUUCCUGGUGUGUGGUGGAAAGCUUUUGCGGUGUGGGAUGGGCCCGCGGCCUAUCAGCUUGUUGGUGGGGUAAUGGCCUACCAAGGCGACGACGGGUAGCCGGCCUGAGAGGGUGACCGGCCACACUGGGACUGAGAUACGGCCCAGACUCCUACGGGAGGCAGCAGUGGGGAAUAUUGCACAAUGGGCGCAAGCCUGAUGCAGCGACGCCGCGUGAGGGAUGACGGCCUUCGGGUUGUAAACCUCUUUCAGCACAGACGAAGCGCAAGUGACAGUAUGUGCAGAAGAAGGACCGGCCAACUACGUGCCAGCAGCCGCGGUAAUACGUAGGGUCCGAGCGUUGUCCGGAAUUACUGGGCGUAAAGAGCUCGUAGGUGGUUUGUCGCGUUGUUCGUGAAAACUCACAGCUUAACUGUGGGCGUGCGGGCGAUACGGGCAGACUUGAGUACUGCAGGGGAGACUGGAAUUCCUGGUGUAGCGGUGGAAUGCGCAGAUAUCAGGAGGAACACCGGUGGCGAAGGCGGGUCUCUGGGCAGUAACUGACGCUGAGGAGCGAAAGCGUGGGGAGCGAACAGGAUUAGAUACCCUGGUAGUCC